UAUAUCUUUUUAAUUAUUGCAUAUUCCAACAUAUGAUUUAGUAACACGUUAUUACAAAGUGAUAACAGUGCACGAUAAGAUGAAAAUAAAAUAUGAAAAAAUAGCAUACCAAACAAAAUCUGUUCAUUUGGCAAUAAGUAAAUGUGAAUCUCGAAUAAGGGUUUAUACAUAUGUUGCAUGUCCAACUUUCUCGGAUAACACGGCUUAUAGUUACAUAUACAAUUUAUACAGUGUUUGAUAAGUCGUCCAAACAGUCCCCAACAACAUGAAAUUAUAUUCUAUUGAAGCAAUAAUCAACAGAACAACUGGUGACGACAGUGAUAAAUUUUAUUUAAAUACUUGUUGCAAUGAAACAAAAUGAUUAAGCUGCAAAACCAAAAUAUACAUAGAUAUAAAGGAGAAUGAACUGCGUUCCGGCACGGCGAGUGACAACAAUGGGCAAUGAAACGCACGUCACAUCAAAACGUCCUGCUGCGUUCGAUCCUACGACAACGCUGCGGCUGACUGCGACGCGACCAUAGACCUAUGGACGCGAAAUAGACCCUUCUCAACCCUUCUUCCAUAAAUUUCAAACACCCAAACUGCUUCCUUCUUUUUUAUUUAAAAUCGGCUAUUGACGCAGUAUUUACAACUAGUGUACACUAAAGCGAUCUAUUAUUAUGCUUUUAACUGAAUUUUGACCAAAAUGUAUAACAUAGGCCCUUAUUCGAGAUUCACAUUCAACUGAAUUACAAAAUUAAUUUUUUUUAAUUUAUAUUUAUUACUAUUAUUAUUACUAGAAAUAUUCCGACGUGUUAAUUAAAGAAUUGCAAUGUAGAUUAUGUAUGAAAGUGUGAAAAAUGUUUUAAUCUGAAUAAACACAUUGCUGUUUAA